rnacentral:rRNA from 1 species
AGCUCCAAUAGCGUAUAUUAAAGUUGUUGCGGUUAAAAAGCUCGUAGUUGGAUUUCUGUCAGUGAGGUGUGCUUGGCCCCUUGUGGUUUUUAGUCACACCGCCGCUGGCAUCUUCUUGGGGAGCGUAUCUGCACUUCACUGUGUGGUGCGCAAGCCAGGACUUUUACUUUGAGGAAAUGAGAGUGUUUCAAGCAGGCGUGCGCCGUGAAUACGUUAGCAUGGAAUAAUAGCAUCGGACCUCGCUCCAUAGCUGUUGGUUUCUUGGAACGAGGUAAAGGUGAAUAGGGAUUGUUGGGGGCAUUCGUAUUUAACUGUCAGAGGUGAAAUUCUUGGAUUUGUUGAAGACGGACUACUGCGAAAGCAUCUGCCAAAGAUGUUCUCA